CAUCCAGCAAGUCCCAGCCUGGAGCCAGAGGCUGGCACAGCACUUCAGAUGGGGGAGGAUCUAUGUUAGGCAUCAGAAAGGUGGUUUAAGCAAGAAGGCAAGAGCUUCUGCAGACAGUGUUGCAAUUAGACACCUGACUUUUACUGAGUCCCUUUUCUGGUUUGUUUUGGAUGAACUAGAGUGGUGGGCACAGAAAUUUUGUCGAUGGGUCAAACAUUCAUACACUCACACUCACUCACACAACCACACUUGUGGAUUUGUCAAGCAACAAAUCUUUGUAUAUAAUCUGUUGUUCAUUGAAUAUGCUUAAUAAAUGUUGUCUUCUUGACUUGUACAUCA